rnacentral:piRNA from 1 species
UCAUGGUGGUCAGUACAGUUUGGUUUC